rnacentral:tRNA from 1 species
GCCGAGGUGGCGGAAUGGCAGACGCGCGUGGUUUAGGGCCACGUGUCCUUAAGGACGUGGGGGUUCGACUCCCUUCCUCGGCA